UACGGAGGGUGCAAGCGUUAAUCGGAAUUACUGGGCGUAAAGCGUGCGCAGGCGGUUUGUUAAGUCCGCUGUGAAAUCCCCGAGCUCAACUUGGGAAUUGCAGUGGAUACUGGCAAGCUGGAGUAUGGUAGAGGAAGGUGGAAUUCCCGGUGUAGCAGUGAAAUGCGUAGAGAUCGGGAGGAACACCAGUGGCGAAGGCGGCCUUCUGGACCAAUACUGACGCUUAUGCACGAAAGCGUGGGGAGCAAACAGG
rnacentral:rRNA from 1 species